rnacentral:rRNA from 1 species
UCGGGAAUUUUGGGCAAUGGGCGAAAGCCUGACCCAGCAACGCCGCGUGAGGGACGAAGUAUUUCGGUAUGUAAACCUCGAAAGAAUGGGAAGAAUAAAUGACGGUACCAUUUAUAAGCUCCGGCUAACUACGUGCCAGCAGCCGCGGUAAUACGUAGGGAGCAAGCGUUGUUCGGAUUUACUGGGCGUAAAGGGCGCGUAGGCGGCGCGGUAAGUCACUUGUGAAAUCUCUGAGCUUAACUCAGAACGGCCAAGUGAUACUGCUGGGUGAGAGUGCGGAAGAGGCAACCGGAAUUCUUGGUGUAGCGGUG